CCUACGGGAGGCAGCAGUGGGGGAUAUUGCACAAUGGGGGAAACCCUGAUGCAGCGACGCCGCGUGGGUGAAGAAGCGCCUCGGCGCGUAAAGCCCUGUCAGCAGGGAAGAAAAUGACGGUACCUGAAGAAGAAGCCCCGGCUAACUCCGUGCCAGCAGCCGCGGUAAUACGUAGGGGGCAAGCGUUAUCCGGAUUUACUGGGUGUAAAGGGGGCGGAGACGGAGAGACAAGUCAGAUGUGAAAUCCACGGGCUCAACCCGUGAACUGCAUUUGAAACUGUGUUUCUUGAGUGCUGGAGAGUCAAUCGGAAUUCCGUGUGUAGCGGUUAAAUGCGUAGAUAUCCGGAGGAACACCAGUGGCGAAGGCGGCUUGCUGGACCGUACCUGACGCUGAUGCGCGAAAGCGUGGGGAGCAAACAGGAUUAGAUACCCCAGUAGUC
rnacentral:rRNA from 1 species